CGCAUCUGUGCAUGCAGCAUAUCAAUAAGCGGAGGAAAGAGGAGUAUACCUACGCUUAGGAUGUUGACACACGCGCGUGCUCGACUCUAUACAUGACUCUGUGCAUGCAGCAUAUCAAUAAGCGGAGGAAAAGAAACUAACAAGGAUUCCCUUAGUAACGGCGAGUGAAGCGGGAAGAGCUCAAAUUUGAAAUCUUCAAGGUUUUACCUUGACGAAUUGUAGUUUAAAGAAGUGUUUUCUGUUGAAGUUUUGGUAAAAGUUCUUUGGGAUAGGACAUCAUAGAGGGUGAGAAUCCCGUAUUUGACCAUUAUUUCAGCUGUGUGAUACACUUUCAAAGAGUCGGAUUGUUUGGGAAUGCAGUCCAAAAUGGGUGGUAAAUUUCAUCUAAAGCUAAAUAUUGGCGAGAGACCGAUAGCGAACAAGUACCGUGAGGGAAAGAUGAAAAGAACUUUGAAAAGAGAGUUAAACAGUACGUGAAAUUGUCAAAAGGGAAGCGUUUGACAGCCAGUGUUGUUUUCUCGAAAAUCAAUUAAAAAGAGUUAGAUUUUGUUGUGUAUUGACCUUAACAGCUUGCAUUUCAAUUUUCUUGCUUUUUUUAAUGCACUUUUCGUUUAACAAGUCAACAUCAGUUUCUUUUGUUGUAAAAAGGUCAUUGGAAGGUGGCUUUCUUUUCGGAGAAAGUGUUUAUAGCCUUUGACUCCUGCAAUCGGAGAGACUGAGGUCUGCAGCGUAGAUCCUUCGGGGUUAGAUACAUUUGUGCUAAGUUAUAGCUUUUUAUAGACAACUUGUUGACUAUGAUUAGUCUUGUAGCUUACUCGCUUAGUGCUAUUUUACCUACGCUUAGGAUGUUGACACACGCGCGUGCUCG
rnacentral:rRNA from 1 species